AAGAAAUUCGUCUCUUGUCUCUUGCAAUAGGGAUGUUUAUCCAGAAAUGUUAAAGGAAUCCAUUUGUUGCAGUGUUGGCUGCCAAGGGUUUCUUAGUAUCUCUCCAGAAUCUUGGUUCCUGUAUCACACUUCCGGAAUUUCUCUUUUUUUUUCAUCAGUAGUAGUAAUUUUUUAUAUGUAGUAUUAGCAAAAUCAUGGUCCCAACCCCCCACCCCCUCUCCUCGUAAUGCGCCUCUUGUAGAUUAGGAGCUGAUCUUAGAACCAGCAAGAAGCAGCUAGCAGAAAUUAUUGAGCAGAGAGAUGGUAUAAAGAAGGGAGGAGAGGAUUCUGUUAUCUGUUUAAUGGCAGCAACAUCUCUUAGUUGCCAUCCCAGGGUAACAAUUCUGCUUCUUAUCUUCAAUUUAAGCAGCUAGUGGUCCAGGUGUUGCUGCAAUGGAAGAGCUUGAAUUGCAGACUCGCGAGUUUGAUAUGUUAACUGUCUGUCAUUUUACCUUUUUGUUACAUAUUGUUCUCUGGUUCAAAACAUCCAUUUAUCCUAACCGAUGUAGGGUAUUGAACUAAUGAAGUAUGUAUUUUUAUAGAGUUGAUAGUGAUACAACCAAAGAUUAUUCCCUCAUUGGUAUUUUUAUAAAUACGUUUGUAGGCUCGAGCAAGGGAAGCAGGGGAGAUAAACAAGAGCUUACUCACACUCUGGCGUUGCAUAAACGUGCUUGUGGAACAUUCUAGACAUAACCUUACAGGACUAGAAAAUUGACCAGAUUGUUGAGAGACUUGUUAGGUGGAAAAACCAAAACAUGCAUCAAACUUGUAACAGAUGUGAACGUGGCAAGGGAAAAGAAUGGUGUUUAUGUUCUACAUAAAAGAUUCUUCCAGGAAGAGGCGGAGAUAAAGGUCAGGUUUUGACAGACUUCUCUUUCUCUAGAUCCGGUUUACAACUACA